UUUAUGGAGAGUUUGAUCCUGGCUCAGAGUGAACGCUGGCGGCGUGCCUAAUACAUGCAAGUCGAACGGACAAGUAAGAGCUUGCUCUUAUGAGUUAGUGGCGCACGGGUGAGUAAUGUAUAGUUAAUCUGCCCUACACUGGAGGACAACAGUUAGAAAUGACUGCUAAUACUCCAUACUCCUUCUUAACACAAGUUAAGUCGGGAAAGUUUUUUCGGUGUAGGAUGAGACUAUAUUGUAUCAGCUAGUUGGUGAGGUAAUGGCUCACCAAGGCUAUGACGCAUAACUGGUCUGAGAGGAUGAUCAGUCACACUGGAACUGAGACACGGUCCAGACUCCUACGGGAGGCAGCAGUAGGGAAUAUUGCUCAAUGGGGGAAACCCUGAAGCAGCAACGCCGCGUGGAGGAUGACACUUUUCGGAGCGUAAACUCCUUUUGUUAGGGAAGAACAAUGACGGUACCUAACGAAUAAGCACCGGCUAACUCCGUGCCAGCAGCCGCGGUAAUACGGAGGGUGCAAGCGUUACUCGGAAUCACUGGGCGUAAAGGACGCGUAGGCGGAUUAUCAAGUCUUUUGUGAAAUCUAAUGGCUCAACCAUUAAACUGCUUGAGAAACUGAUAAUCUAGAGUGAGGGAGAGGCAGAUGGAAUUGGUGGUGUAGGGGUAAAAUCCGUAGAGAUCACCAGGAAUACCCAUUGCGAAGGCGAUCUGCUGGAACUUAACUGACGCUAAUGCGUGAAAGCGUGGGGAGCAAACAGGAUUAGAUACCCUGGUAGUCCACGCCCUAAACGAUGUAUACUAGUUGUUGCUGUGCUAGUCAUGGCAGUAAUGCACCUAACGGAUUAAGUAUACCGCCUGGGGAGUACGGUCGCAAGAUUAAAACUCAAAGGAAUAGACGGGGACCCGCACAAGCGGUGGAGCAUGUGGUUUAAUUCGAAGAUACGCGAAGAACCUUACCUGGGCUUGAUAUCCUAAGAACCUUGUAGAGAUACGAGGGUGCUAGCUUGCUAGAACUUAGUGACAGGUGCUGCACGGCUGUCGUCAGCUCGUGUCGUGAGAUGUUCGGUUAAGUCCGGCAACGAGCGCAACCCACGUAUUUAGUUGCUAACAGUUCGGCUGAGCACUCUAAAUAUACUGCCUUCGUAAGGAGGAGGAAGGUGUGGACGACGUCAAGUCAUCAUGGCCCUUAUGCCCAGGGCGACACACGUGCUACAAUGGCAUAUACAAUGAGACGCAAUAUCGCGAGAUGGAGCAAAUCUAUAAAAUAUGUCCCAGUUCGGAUUGUUCUCUGCAACUCGAGAGCAUGAAGCCGGAAUCGCUAGUAAUCGUAGAUCAGCCAUGCUACGGUGAAUACGUUCCCGGGUCUUGUACUCACCGCCCGUCACACCAUGGGAGUUGAUUUCACUCGAAGCCGGAAUACUAAACUAGUUACCGUCCACAGUGGAAUCAGCGACUGGGGUGAAGUCGUAACAAGGUAACCGUAGGAGAACCUGCGGUUGGAUCACCUCCUUU
rnacentral:rRNA from 1 species